rnacentral:rRNA from 1 species
UACGUAGGGUGCAAGCGUUAAUCGGAAUUACUGGGCGUAAAGCGUGCGCAGGCGGUGAUGUAAGACAGAUGUGAAAUCCCCGGGCUCAACCUGGGAACUGCAUUUGUGACUGCAUCGCUGGAGUACGGCAGAGGGGGAUGGAAUUCCGCGUGUAGCAGUGAAAUGCGUAGAUAUGCGGAGGAACACCGAUGGCGAAGGCAAUCCCCUGGGCCUGUACUGACGCUCAUGCACGAAAGCGUGGGGAUCAAACGGG